ensembl:lncRNA
GUGACACAAACCAGGAGAAGUUACUGUGUUUGACGAUGCAUCUAUCAGCCUCCAUCACUCUGCUGCUCCUGGUUCUUCUGGGGGUCACUUCAGGAGUACCACCCCCCAUUGAAACUCCCGUCACGAUUGAAGUGAGAAACUCUUUGGUCAUAUAACUCAUAUUAAAUGUUGUGUUCAGGUUUACCUACACUGAGAGCAAAUAUUACGGCCCCUUUCUGACCAGUGUGAAUGGUUUGUAUGGAGAUUUCUCUCAGCGCACCUACUGGCAGCUGCUGGUGGAGAAACUGGACGGGACUGUCAUAAUACCUGAUGCUGAUAUCAGGUGCUACAUUCCAAUUGCAAAUGAUAAGAUCAUCUUUGAAUAUUCCAGCGCAUGAAGAGUCAAAUGAAACUGUUGACACAUAAUGGACUGUGCUUCACUUUACAAAAACUUCAACUCAAGAUGAUUAUUUUAACACUUUGCUGGAGAGAGACUGAUGUCAUUUUACCUGUUGUUACACUUUAAAUAAAUCAUUCAUUCAUUGUGGAGAAUAAAUGAUUUUAAAAGCCUCUCCCAGCUCAUAAACACCUGUUGUUCUUUUUGUUCUUCUGGACAAAGAGAACACCAUGAUCUUUUAGAUUUAAUGAUGUGAUGUAAUUAUGGUCAUGGCACAAUGUAUUUUUGGCCUGUGGUUGAAUAAAGGGUGUUUCCUAAUUACACUGAAGUACAAAAUGUCCUCAUUGCGUGUAAUAAAACAAUACAUGACAAAUACUUCCUGGUACUUUCUGGGACUUUAAAAAGGAGUGACACAAACCAGGAGAAGUUACUGUGUUUGACGAUGGCGAUGCAUCUAACAGCCUCCAUCACUCUGCUGCUCCUGGUUCUUCUGGGGGUCACUUCUGGAGCACCACCCUCCAAUGAAACUCCCGUCACGAUUGAGGUGGGAAACUCUUUGGUCCCAGGUGAAGCCAGAAAAAUCUACCGCACUUCUGUGCCCUACAGAGGAAUUCUGCUGGGAGCAAUGAGACGACUCCAGGAAACCACCAACUUCAAGUUUACCUACACUGAGGACAAAAAUUACGGCCCCUUUCUGACCAGUGUGAAUGGUUUGUAUGGAGAUUUCUCUCAGCGCACCUACUGGCAGCUGCUGGUGGAGAAACCGGACGGGACCACCAUAAGAGCUGAUGUUGGUAUCGGGUGCCUCAUUCCAACUGAAAAUGAUAAGAUCCUCUUAAUUUUUUCCACCUACUGAAGACGACUUGACUCUGAGCUGAUUAAUAAACAUAUAACCACGUACCUGCUGAUCAGGAAAUAUGUGUAACUCGUUGUAUUCUGUUAUCACUGGGUUAUUUAGUUUAGUCACACCUGUUUGUUUAGUUUGUGGUAAAUGUUGAUUUAAGUCACUAUUUUCCUCUGUUCUUGUUGCAACAUGUGAAAAACAAUAAAGAAACAAACUCAGAGUCUGAGUCACUAAAAUGUUGACACAGUAUUUUAUUUAUGCAAUGGCACUUGACAAGGAAGAGAAAGAUAUUUUCUCCUGUUUAUCACAAUCAUUUGGGAUUGGUUUGUUUUGACAUGGAGGAUAAAAGUGUAAAAAUAAUC